rnacentral:rRNA from 1 species
GAUGAACGCUGGCGGCGUGCCUAAUACAUGCAAGUCGAGCGAACAGACGAGGAGCUUGCUCCUUUGACGUUAGCGGCGGACGGGUGAGUAACACGUGGGUAACCUACCUAUAAGACUGGGAUAACUUCGGGAAACCGGAGCUAAUACCGGAUAAUAUUUCGAACCGCAUGGUUCGAUAGUGAAAGAUGGCUCUGCUAUCACUUAUAGAUGGACCUGCGCCGUAUUAGCUAGUUGGUAAGGUAACGGCUUACCAAGGCAUCGAUACGUAGCCGACCUGAGAGGGUGAUCGGCCACACUGGAACUGAGACACGGUCCAGACCCCGACGGGAGGCAGCAGUAGGGAAUCUUCCGCAAUGGGCGAAAGCCUGACGGAGCAACGCCGGGUGAGUGAUGAAGGUCUUCGGAUCGUAAAACUCUGUUAUUAGGGAAGAACAAACGUGUAAGUAACUGUGCACGUUUUGACGGUACCAAAUCAGAAAGCCACGGCAAACUACGU